rnacentral:rRNA from 1 species
GACGAACGCUGGCGGCGUGCCUAAUACAUGCAAGUCGAGCGGAUUUUCGGAAGCUUGCUUCCGAAAAUUAGCGGCGGACAGGUUAGUAACACGUGGGCAACCUGCCUGUAAGACUGGGAUAACUUCGGGAAACCGGAGCUAAUACCGGAUACAUUCUUCCCUCGCAUGAGGGAAGGUGGAAAGACGGUCUUGCUGUCACUUACAGAGGGGCCAGCGGCGCAUUAGCUAGUUGGUUGGGUAAUGGCCCACCAAGGCGACGAUGCGUAGCCGACCUGAGAGGGUGAUCGGCCACACUGGGACUGAGACACGGCCCAGACUCCUACGGGAGGCAGCAGUAGGGAAUCUUCCGCAAUGGACGAAAGUCUGACGGAGCAACGCCGCGUGAGCGAAGAAGGCCUUCGGGUCGUAAAGCUCUGUUGUCAGGGAAGAACAAGUACCAUAGUAACUGAUGGUACCUUGAUGGUACCUGACCAGAAAGCCACGGCUAACUACGUGCCAGCCGCCGCAGUAAGAC